GUGCAGCAGGCGCGAAAACUUCACAAUGUGCGAAAGCACGAUGAGGGAAUCCCAAGUGCUUGCACGUAAGUGUAAGCUGUUUCUCUGUCUAAAACGCAGAGAGAGUAAGGGCUGGGUAAGACGGGUGCCAGCCGCCGCGGUAAUACCUGCAGCUCGAGUGGUGACCGUUAUUAUUGGGCCUAAAACGUCCGUAGCCGGUUUAAUAAAUGCCUGGGUAAAUCGGACCGCUUAACGGUUCGAAUUCCGGGUAGACUGUUAAACUUGAGACCGGGAGAAGUUAGAGGUACUCCUGGGGUAGAGGUGAAAUUCUGUAAUCCUAGGGGGACCACCAGUGGCGAAGGCGUCUAACUAGAACGGGUCUGACGGUGAGGGACGAAGCCCUGGGGCG
rnacentral:rRNA from 1 species